rnacentral:lncRNA from 1 species
UUAUGGAUAUUUCAUAUGAAUUUAUCAUGAAAUUAGGGGUCAAACAAAAGUGGCUUUACUUAGAAAAAGUAUAAAACUAGGUACUUGAAAUCAGAGGUGAGAAGAUUAUCUACAAUGAUUGGAAGGUAUUGAGGAGAAAGUUCAGCUUGAAAGAACAUAUAGAAUAAAAGAAGAGAUAAUUGAUUUGUUAGAAGAGAUAAAGGUUUUAAAAAGAGAGGCAGUAGACAUCAAAGAAGAGAUAGCA